GGCGACAGGAGGGAGCGCCGCCCCUUCCCCCAAGUGUUUUAAAACGUUUCCAUUGUCGUUUUUUCUUUCCAGGUUUCGAUAAUGAUUGUNUUGUUCCCGUAGAGGUGAACCUGCGGAACGAUCAUU
rnacentral:rRNA from 1 species